AGGAGAGUUUGAUCCUGGCUCAGGACGAACGCUGGCGGCAUGCCUAAAACAUGCAAGUCGAACGAAGUUAUUAGAGAGCUUGCUUUUUGAUAACUUAGUGGCGGACUGGUGAGUAACGCGUGAGCAAUCUGCCCUAUACACUGGGAUAACAGCUAGAAAUGGCUGCUAAUACCGGAUAUGACCACAGCACCGCAUGGUGCAGGGGUGAAAGGGUUUACUGGUAUAGGAUGAGCUCGCGUCCCAUUAGCUAGUUGGUAGUGUAACGGACCACCAAGGCAACGAUGGGUAGCCGACCUGAGAGGGUGAUCGGCCACACUGGGACUGAGAUACGGCCCAGACUCCUACGGGAGGCAGCAGUUAGGAAUAUUGGGCAAUGGAGGAAACUCUGACCCAGCAAUGCCGCGUGAAGGAUGAAGGUUCUCGGAUUGUAAACUUCUGUUCUAAGGGACGAAACAAAUGACUGUACCUUAGGAGGAAGCCCCGGCAAACUACGUGCCAGCAGCCGCGGUGAUACGUAGGGGGCAAGCGUUGUCCGGAAUGACUGGGCGUAAAGGGAGUGUAGGCGGUUCUUUAAGUUAAAUGUGAAAGCCUGGGGCUUAACCCCAGAACUGCAUUUAAUACUGGAGGGCUUGAGUGUGGGAGAGGUAAGUGGAAUUCCUAGUGUAGCGGUAAAAUGCAUAGAUAUUGGGAGGAACACCGGAGGCGAAAGCGGUCAUCUGGACUACAACUGACGCUGAGGCACGAAAGCGUGGGGAGCAAACAGGAUUAGAUACCCUGGUAGUCCCCU
rnacentral:rRNA from 1 species